GGGCGCGCGUUCAGUCAGUUCCAAAGUGGGCUUCUGACCGUGAAUGGAAACCGAGUCAGCCAAGAGGAGCGAAGAAAUCAGACUCGCAAGCAUGAGCAAGCACGAGAACCCAGGCUUCAGCGGCGAUGUCGAUGUCGAGGCGAGCCGUCCCAGAUCCCCCAAGAUCGGCUAUGACGUCACCACAGCUAACCCCGAGGGCCCUGGAUGCUGCGCAAUCGUUCUUACUAUCAUCUCCUACCUUCUCAUCAUCGCUACUUUCCCGUUCUCACUAUGCAU